UAGGGAAUCUUCGGCAAUGGGGGGAACCCUGACCGAGCAACGCCGCGUGAGUGAAGAAGGUUUUCGGAUCGUAAAGCUCUGUUGUUAAGGAAGAACGAGUGUGAGAAUGGAAAGUUCAUGCUGUGACGGUACUUAACCAGAAAGGGACGGCUAACUACGUGCCAGCAGCCGCGGUAAUACGUAGGUCCCGAGCGUUGUCCGGAUUUAUUGGGCGUAAAGCGAGCGCAGGCGGGUAAGCAAGUUAGAAGUGAAAUCCUAUAGCUCAACUAUAGUAAGCUUUUAAAACUGCUCAUCUUGAGGUAUGGAAGGGAAAGUGGAAUUCCUAGUGUAGCGGUGAAAUGCGCAGAUAUUAGGAGGAAUACCGGUGGCGAAGGCGACUUUCUGGCCAUAACCUGACGCUGAGGUACGAAAGCGUGGGUAGCAAACAGG
rnacentral:rRNA from 1 species